AUUGAACGCUGGCGGCAUGCCUUACACAUGCAAGUCGAACGGCAGCACGGGAGCAAUCCUGGUGGCGAGUGGCGAACGGGUGAGUAAUAUAUCGGAACGUGCCCAGUCGUGGGGAUAACGUAGCGAAAGCUACGCUAAUACCGCAUACGAUCUAUGGAUGAAAGCGGGGGAUCGCAAGACCUCGCGCGAUUGGAGCGGCCGAUAUCAGAUUAGGUAGUUGGUGAGGUAAAGGCUCACCAAGCUGACGAUCUGUAGCUGGUCUGAGAGGACGACCAGCCACACUGGGACUGAGACACGGCCCAGACUCCUACGGGAGGCAGCAGUGGGGAAUUUUGGACAAUGGGCGCAAGCCUGAUCCAGCAAUGCCGCGUGCAGGAUGAAGGCCUCGGUUGUAAC
rnacentral:rRNA from 1 species